GGAGAGGUGGCCGAGCGGUUGAAGGCGGCGGCUUGCUAAGCCGUUGUCCCGGUUACUCCGGGACCGUGGGUUCGAAUCCCACCCUCUCCG
rnacentral:tRNA from 2 species